rnacentral:lncRNA from 1 species
UUUUUUUCCCUUGUGAAUUUUACCUCAGUCCAAACAGGGGGUAAUUUUAAAGGCAGAGACUCGGCGCCCCUGUGAGCGAAGGUUUAAUAAAAGAAAAAGGACGGGACUGAUGAUGGUAAAAUGGAAGAGGCUCCACAGUCCAACAAAAUAAUGAGCCAUUAAAACCGUUUAAAAACAGGUUAGGUUAGGCGAUGUUCAAAACAAGCUAGCGGCUCCUGCGCUGCAAAGCAAUUAACAUCAAUUGCAGACAGCCCAAUCAAUUAUACCAAUGAGGAAGAAGAAGAAGAAGAAGAAAUUGUUAGUAUCCUUGAGCAAUGAUUGUGCGUCCAAAAUAAUUGAGGCUGAGGCAGAGCACCAACAUUUCAAACCAAUGAGCCCAUACAACUCUGAAUUUUAGGUAUUUUCUCUAUUUUUUUUUUCCACAUUGGCCAUCAUUACAUCAUAUCUUGCAUUAGAUCUUCAGACAAACAAUGCGUCUGNNNNNNNNNNNNNNNNNNNNNNNNNNNNNNNNNNNNNNNNNNNNNNNNNNNNNNNNNNNNNNNNNNNNNNNNNNNNNNNNNNNNNNNNNNNNNNNNNNNNNNNNNNNNNGUUUUUGGGUACCUCCCGGUUUAGACCGUAGUGGCUUGUUUUACUGGGAUUUGAUUUAUUGGACCCAAACAGACCCUUGUGUUCUUUCAGAAAUCAGAUACAGAGUAUUUGCUUAAUCUGUUGUUCACUCUUGUAUAACCUGCAAAACCUUCUCUUUCCCUUUGUGUGGAUUGGGGGAAAUGGAGAGAGAAAUUUGAUAUUUUCUAAAUUCUCCAAUGUACACAUGAAAUGGAAAGAGAAAAUGAAAUAAAUUUGAUAUUUUCUAGAUUCUUCUGUGUACACAUGAAAGAAACAAGAGUGAACUUAAUUGUAGUUACGAAGAGGUGAAAUUUCACUUCUCAAAUGCUUGUAUUUACGAAGUAUUUGCUUUACAUUAAAAGGAAUUGAAAGAAAUGAGUAUUCUACUUAAAUGACCUUAAUUGUAAGAUCUUCUCUUUCUUAGCUUACAAAGGUAUAAUGUUUAUUCUCAAUCGUCUUUAAAAAAAUAUAUAAUUUCUAUUUUAUGCUAAUAAUUUUUCUAGACAAUCGAAUUUUUUUUUCUUUUUCUUUAUUUUUCCUGGGCAAUGAAGGAUUCGUUGAUAAUCUUCUGUUGGGUGGGGAAUGCCAAAAGAUGCAAGAUCGUGUCCCUGUCAAAUCAAGCUCUAUAUAAUUUCUGUUUAGUAUAUUGUGUUGUCUAAAGAGAGAGUGGAGAACUUGCUCUUUGUUAUAGUGGAGGAAAUUGAUGUUAUUUGAUGAUUUUGUGUACGGUUUUCUUGCAAUCCACUUCUAAAGGAAGUGUGUGUGGCUGGAGAUGCAACACCUUUGCACUUUCUAACAAGUCAAUCAUAAUUAGUGCCUUUCAGGCAUAAUGAGGCCAGGUGAUUUUUUUUACUGUAGUGGUAGCUAAUAAGCCUCAUAGAUCUCUUCUGUCCCACCAUAACCUGGAAUUGAAUAACUCUAAUCUGCUAUGGUAUGAAGAACAGUCACCAUCUGGCUGGGUUAAAACUCCUAGCUGACUGUCACGUCAUUCUGCUAAAAAAUUGAGAGAUUCAAAUAUUAAUUUCGAGUUGCAUUUCAGAAAUUAAAUGAGUAAGAGAGUUUAAUUAAAACAGGGAUUAAGAAUGCUAUAUAUAUGAAGCGUGUUUCAUUAUUUUUUGGUAAUAUUUAUCAAUCUACAUUAUGUGUGUGUUGGUGUAUAGGGAUGACAUGGCCAGUGUCAUAAAUCAUCAGACUUUGGCAUGCUUCAUAUUGAGCUUUUCCUCUUUUAUUGGACUAGGCUUAGAAAUUGACUAGGAUUUUAGUUUCAUAUCUGCAAAUCUAUGAAUCAAUUAUGGAUCCUUUUUUUAUUUAAUUAACUCCCAUCUUCUUUUGCAAUGCAUAUCUUCAAUGGACAAAUAGUAGCAAACGUAGCAAGAGUGGAGAGGCUCCUGAACCGGCUGGUCUAUGGCCAAGCGUUGGCCAUCCUUUAUCUAUUGGGUGGUGCUGAUAAAGCUUCUUUACCAAACCAUAAAUCAAAAUCCGCAUAUGCAGUCAUCGUGCCUUUUGUGGUUCCCCAUAUAUGACAAAGCCCUUGCUUCUCAUCCCACCACAGCAGACCAUUCAGUAUUUGGUUUUGCACCCUGCAGCUCGCUCUGGAGUGUGAUGCUGCUGAACUUCUUUUAAACCGGAGAUUUGAGAAGUUGAAUUGGGAAUAAGGAAGCCUUAUAGUCUAUGGACCAUACCUUCCUUCCAGUGCUUGUUGAACAUAAACAGUGGCCUGAGGAUCUGACACAUACCAAAUCACUUGAGAGUUAAAAAGGGAAAAAAAUUCAACUAAUUUGAAAUGAAGGAUGGAUUAUGG